rnacentral:rRNA from 1 species
CAGGCGCGAAAACUUUACAAUGCUGGCAACAGCGAUAAGGGAACCUCGAGUGCCAGGUUACAAAUCUGGCUGUCGAGAUGCCUAAAAAGCAUUUCAUAGCAAGGGCCGGGCAAGACCGGUGCCAGCCGCCGCGGUAACACCGGCGGCUCGAGUGGUAACCGUUAUUAUUGGGUCUAAAGGGUCUGUAGCCGGCCGGAUAAGUCUCUUGAGAAAUCUGGCAGCUUAACUGUCAGGCUUUCAGGAGAUACUGUCUGGCUCGAGGCCGGGAGAGGUGAGAGGUACUUCAGGGGUAGGGGUGAAAUCUUGUAAUCCUUGAAGGACCACCAGUGGCGAAGGCGUCUCACCAGAACGGACCUGACGGCAAGGGACGAAAGCUAGGGGCACGAACCGGAUUAGAUACCCGGGUAGUCCUAGCCGUAAACGAUACUCGCUAGGUGUCGGCCACGGUGCGACCGUUGUCGGUGCCGUAGGGAAGCCGUGAAGCGAGC